UGGGUAUGUUAAUAGCAUACUCAUUUGACGUUAGCUGCAGAAGAAGCACCGGUCUAACUCCGUGCCAGCAAGCCGCGGUAAUUACGGAGGGUUGCGAGCGUUAAUCGGAAUUACUGGGCGUAAAGCGCAUGCAGGUGGUUUGUUAAGUCAGAUGUGAAAGCCCGGGGCUCAACCUCGGAAUUGCAUUUGAAACUGGCAAACUAGAGUACUGUAGAGGGGGUAGAAUUUCAGGUGUAGCGGUGAAAUGCGUAGAGAUCUGAAGGAAUACCGGUGGCGAAGGCGGCCCCCUGGACAGAUACUGACACUCAGAUGCGAAAGCGUGGGGAGCAAACAGGAUUAGAUACCCUCGGUAG
rnacentral:rRNA from 1 species